rnacentral:tRNA from 1 species
CAGGGAGACAACAAAAUGUUAAUAAUUAAUUUUGUCACCUUAGGUCGAUCGGUAUCUCACAUUCUUAAUUUAUUAAGGAUUUUAUUUCCUAAGUUUUUUCUAGGUCACACCCAUUAUUUUCCCUGGGCCAUUAGCUCAGGUGGUUAGAGCGCACCCCUGAUAAGGGUGAGGUCCCUGGUUCAAGUCCAGGAUGGCCCAUAUCUCUAUGUUGGGGGUAUAGCUCAGUUGGUAGAGCGCCUGCCUUGCAAGCAGGAUGUCAGCGGUUCGAGUCCGCUUACCUCCACUGAUUACCACCUCUUCCAUAAUUUAUAGAAGGGAAACUUUUUUAGGUGUGAUCACAUUCUGAACGAAUCUAGCUUCCUAAUCAAACUCAAUUAAGAUGCUGGACUCAUUGAAUUAAUUUCAUUGUUUUCAGAGAACCUUGACAACUGCAUAGAUUAUUUUUAAAGACAAUAAGCAUCUUUAAUGAUGCAGAUUUAUUAUUUGUGCUAAUGCAUUAAAUAACAAUUCUAUUAAGCUGAUGCUUCAAUUUUUGAAGUUAUU